GUCUGUCCAGGCACUGCCAAUGGUUGGUAGGGGCUGGUGAGGUCAGACCUGGCACUGUCAAUGGUUGGUAGGGGCUGGUGAGGUCUGUCCUGGUACUGCCAAUGUUUGAAAGGGGCUGGUGAGGUCUGUCCUGGAACUGCCAAUGGUUGGAAUGGGCUGGUGGGGUCUGUCCUGGCACUGCCACUGGUUGGAAUGGGCUGGUGAAGUAGGUCCUCGCACUGCCAUUGGUUGGAAUGGGCUGGUGAGGUCUAUCCUGGCACUGCCAAUGGUUGGAAUGGGCUGGUGAGGUCUGUCCUGGCACUGCCAAUGGUGGAAGGGGCUAGUAAGGUCUGUUCUGGUACUGUCAAUGGUUGGUAGGGACUGGUGAGGUCUGUCCUGGUACUGCCAAUGGUUGGUAGGGGCUGGUGAGGUCAGUCCUG